GAUGAACGCUGGCGGCGUGCUUAACACAUGCAAGUCGAACGAAGCAUUUGCGACAGAUUUUUUCGGAAUGAAGUUGCUUAUGACUGAGUGGCGGACGGGUGAGUAACGCGUGGGUAACCUGCCUUGUACUGGGGGAUAGCAGCUGGAAACGGCUGGUAAUACCGCUUAAGCGCACAAUGUUGCAUGACAUGGUGUGAAAAACUCCGGUGGUAUAAGAUGGACCCGCGUCUGAUUAGCUAGUUGGUGAGAUAACAGCCCACCAAGGCGACGAUCAGUAGCCGACAGGGGAGGGUGACCGGCCACAUUGGGACUGAGACACGGCCCAGACUCCUACGGGAGGCAGCAGUGGGGAAUAUUGCACAAUGGAGGAAACUCUGAUGCAGCGACGCCGCGUGAGUGAAGAAGUAAUUCGUUAUGUAAAGCUCUAUCAGCAGGGAAGAUAGUGACGGUACCUGACUAAGAAGCACCGGCUAACUACGUG
rnacentral:rRNA from 1 species